UUCAAUUUAUGCAUCUGAAUCUUCUUCUAUGUGUAGUUGCUUUCAAGAGGGUUUCCAUUUAUCACAGGAACCAACAAGUAAAGAGGAAUGCAUCUUGCCCAAAGCAGCGGCUAAUUCUUACUGGCGCAUGUAUGCAGGCAUAAGUACAAGCUAGAAACAAUGCAGCGAUCCAUAAAUGUUGAGUCUGAACCUGUGUUGUUAACUGACUUGCUGAGGUAUGAUCAAUGCAUAGGUUAAGUUGGGUAAUGCCGAGUUACAUGUGACUUUUCCUCACCUGCCCCUUAAUGACAAUUAGCUUAAAAGGAGCCUAGCGUAUGCACUGCUUUUUUAGAGAAAAGAAUAUCAGCUUCCCACUAGGAAUUUUACAAGCAUUUAGCCGCUCACAUGUUAUUUGUUUUAUACACAAGAGUGUUUGUCUAAGUUCCCCAGACAUGUAUCUGACCCUUUGCUGUCCCGGUAAUUAUCUCCAUAGAUUCCUGUUCAUAAAAAAUGCUUUCAACAUCUGCUAAGGCUUCAGCUAUUGAGCUUCUGAUGGGCUUCUGUUGCGGAAGACCUACUGCCCUAACUGCAUUUGUAUCUUCUGAAAUUUCUGUAAUAGUUGCUGCAUUUGCUAGGUUUAUAAUCUUCAUUCUGCCAAUCUUUUCACCUGCAAUGAAUAAUACCCCUAUUAAGUCAGGCGAAACGAUUUUUUUUCGAGAAAUCAGGUGAAACAAUUGGAAGAAUGAAGAUCAUAAAACUUGUGUCAACCGCAGCUAAUGAAUGAAAUAAUACCUGUUCUUGUGUCAUGCGAUGUCAAAUGGGAUAUUAGUACAUGGGAUGCUUCGUCGAUUGUAUAACAGUGUAACGUCCAUGAAGGGGGGCACCUGAUUCGCCUCAGCAGUUCUCCCUUAUCAUCAAACAUGGAAACCUGAUCUUUAUAUCUCACCAAUAAUAGUAGCUCAUCUUCAGUCUGUAAGAUGUGUAUCCCAUGUGGAUCACUGGUACAAACUGAUUUAGCCACAGAAGGCUCUUCUUCGAGCUGGAUCAUAAUUCAGGAGGAUCAAACACUUGUAAAUUGAGAUCAAGAUUUCAUAAUAAUAAAAUCUAGUUACUUGUAUGUAAUAAACCUACAUCUGUCAUUCUGACUCGCAUAUUUUCCUGUUGAAGCACCACUUUAGUUGAAAUAGAUUGUAUGAAUUUAACUUCACUGAAAUUCUUGAGAGGAACAUAACACAUUUCUGUCAGGUCUCCGGUUUGGAGAGAGUAUGUUUGGAUAGGAAAGAAGCCCUUCGGGUCAGGUCUGUGACUUGUCACUAAGUUGUCAGUAUGCAACAGAGAAAACAAAUGCUGCCUUUUGAAGCCUAGACUAAUACCUCAGAUUGUAGCACUCCAUACCCGGCAUUGUGAUCUGACGAAGUAAACUGCCGUUCCUUGUGCUAAAAAUUCUCAUAACGCUGAUGGGAAAAAUGUUUGUUUAUUUUAUUAGAUUAGACCACAAUAAAUAAAUAAAAUACAAACAAAUAUUAGAAAGUGUUCAAUUUGUGUGUACCUAGUUUUUUUAGAGAAGACCACCGCCUUUUCAGCACCGGCAGAUAAUUUCACAUGUUCCGGGUUCGUAAUUUCAGAUUCAGAAAACAUUCUUAUCUGUUGGGGCACGCGGACCGCCGUCCUUAUAGACCUAGAAAUGAAACCAGGUAGGAUCAAAAUGCACAAUUCUUUUGUUUCAAGUUAUGUAGCUGAUAGAAUGCUAAAUAUUUGUUAGAAUGCUAAAUAUUCUAUUAUAAGAAAGGAGGCAUAACAAUGUCAUAUAUAUGCACAGGAGCAGUUUUAUGUGGUAGCCUUCCAAUAUGCAACCAUUCUGUCCUCCAAUCCUGUUUUAUGUUAUGUUCUUUUUAAAGCACCAUAUAUAUCUGUUAAACUGCAGCCUCGUAACUAGGUUUGGUUCUGAAAUAUCAUAUUGAUAUCGAUUUCUACUGAAUAUCCCCUUCUCCACAGGUGACUUGGGCCGUCUUGCCAGCGAGGCCCCACCGUUCCUCUACUUGCUGCAGCUGCCCACGACCCUCCUCUCUACUUGCUCCACCUGUGAUUAGUUGAACCUUUUUGUCGUUGUCAUUAACAGCUGCUACUGUAACAAUGUUUCGACACCAUUGUUGUGCUGGUCCUUCUAUUCAACAGUAUAACAACAGUAUUGUUUUGAACUUGUAAGUUUUGUGAUGUUGUUUAGUUCUGCAGAAAUACAACAACACAGCAGUACUUAAGAGUAAUACUGAUGCUCACGAAUACAGUAGUAAAACUUACUCGAGUGGUACUUUGGCGCAUCUUAUAUCAAUUGAUCUCGAGAGUGUGAACUGUGAGACGCAUAUAACCCAAUUUGCUUUCUUGUUCCAGAGAAGAGACAAUAUCUUCUGAUCAACUUGGUUAUUCAGAGCGCA
rnacentral:lncRNA from 1 species